AAGAUAUUACUAAAAUUAUAUAUGUGAAAAAAAGUUGUUUGGAAAGAAGAUUUAUAAGAAGAGGAAGGUGAAAUCCCUUUUAAUUGGGUAGAUAGCAAAACUAUUUACUGGCCACCAGGUACCAAACCUUUAAAUGCAAUGAAGUGUUGUCAAAAUCUUGGGAAAAAUUGGCUGAAGUUUCCGCUAAUAAAACUUAAGUUCUCUUCAGGUUCCAAUAUCACAGAUCUAGAUGAAGUAUCAAUGCAGCUUAUGUCUAGCAGUUUAUCAAUCUUAUCUAGAGGUUUCAUCAAUCUUAUUAAGAGUUCAUGUAAUAUUUUCAAAAUCAAAUAUGUGGAAAGGAGC